AUCCAGACUCCUACGGGAGGCAGCAGUGAGGAAUAUUGGUCAAUGGGCGGGAGCCUGAACCAGCCAAGCCGCGUGAGGGAAGAAGGUACAGCGUAUCGUAAACCUCUUUUGUCAGGGAACAAAGGCGGGGACUAGUCCCCGGAUGAGGGUACCUGAAGAAAAAGCAUCGGCUAACUCCGUGCCAGCAGCCGCGGUAAUACGGAGGAUGCGAGCGUUAUCCGGAUUUAUUGGGUUUAAAGGGUGCGCAGGCGGCGUGUUAGGACGGGGGAAAGAGCCUGGGGCACACCCCCGGGGAGCCGUUGAAACUGGCGGGCUGGAGUUGGAGAGAAGUACGCGGAAUGCGCGGUGUAGCGGUGAAAUGCUUAGAUAUCGCGCAGAACCCCGAUUGCGAAGGCAGCGUACCGGCUCCACACUGACGCUGAGGCACGAAAGUGCGGGUAUCGAACAGGAUUAGAUACCCCGGUAAU
rnacentral:rRNA from 1 species